UUUAAAAAGUUUUAUAAUGGUUUCAUUUUCAAGUUAGAAAUAACAAUUUGUAAACUCUGUGUAAGGUGUUCAUAUAUGUAAUCAAUUAUAGAUGUGAUGGAGUUCCCGAUUGUGGACGAGUUCGUGAUCCAGACUUCAUGAGUGGCUUAUGUAUGCUUACAUAUGGUCUUGUGUGGAAUCCUUGGGUGUUCCGUAGUUGCUGAAUCAGGAAAUUUAUGUGUGGCAGUUUUGUUAGCUGCUUCCAUGCUACAUCUUUGGGUGAUUUAUUUCUAUGAUGCACCCAUUCUACGGCUCUGCAGUGAAACUGGACGGGCGUGGGUUAAUGGCGCUUUCCAUUUACCUGCUUCCAUUCUCAAGGUUCCAUUCAGGGCAUGGCUCAGGUUUUUUAAACGGGUGGUUGCGUGGACAUUUCAUGGCAUCGAGCAGCCUUCAUGAAUUUGUCCCAAUAACUUUGUAUAUCAAAGCUUCUCGAAUUUCAGCCUGAUAGAAAUAAUGUAACACAAUAGUGAAAUGGAAAGAACAAACUUUCUUACAUGACUGCUAGUUAAUUGUUGCAGCUGUUCGUUCGAGGAAAUCUAUUGGUUGAAAGUAAUUUAAAAGCACACAACAGGAAAACGAACGUGGAACACAAGUAACCCGCUAUUGCAUCGCCUAGGACGUUUACUGAUUUCUCCUCGACGGCUGCAUCACCGCUUUAUGACACAACUUGAACGUGUCAAACAUUUGCUGGUAAAUUGUUCAUUUCUAGAUAACUUUGGCGGGUUCAAAAUUCAUCAGCACUUAGAUGCUAGUCAACACACUUGUGUCAAUAUUUCAGUACAGGACUAAUCAUGUAGUGUACGUAGGAGUGGAUCGGUUAAUACAGGUCUAAUACGAGCAAUAAUGGGUCUUUAGGCUGUUAUCAACGCCUACCACCACAUCCUAGUCUACAUCUCGGCUUUGAUUUUGCUAUGAUUUAUUGAGUGUCACUGGGAGUUGCAUUCGGAUUCUGCAGUCCGUUGUUGUAUAGAUAAAAAAUGGUAGUAUGUGACCCAUCUCCAGGUCGACUAUCACCGACAGUCUUCACAGCUAAAACGAAACGCUUUGAUGGUUGAUGCCAAAUAGUUUACUGAUCAUAAUCUGAAUCUCGAUGGUGUCUAUUUGAAAGACGUGGAUCGUUUGGUCCUGGCUCUGAUUACAGAUGUGAUGGAGUUCCCGAUUGUGGACGAGUUCGUGAUCCAAACUUCAUGAGUGGCUUAUGUAUGCUUACAUAUGGGUUUGCGUGGAAUCCUUGGGUGUUCCGCAGUUGCUGAUUCAGGAAAUUUAGGUGUGGCAGUUAUGUAAGCUGCUUCCAUGCUACAUCUUUGAGUGAUUUAUUUCUAUGAUGCACCCAUUCUACGGCUCUGCAGUGAAACUGGACUGGCAUGGGUUGAUGGCGCUUUCUGUUUACCCGCCUUCAUUGUUAAGGUUCCAUUCAGGGCAUAGCUCAGGUUUUUUAAACGGGUGGUUGCGUGGACAUUUCAUGGCACCGUUCGUACCGAAUUGGCCGCGAUGUUGCAUCGAGCAGCCUUCACGGAUUUGUCCCAAUAACAUUGGAUGUCGAAGCUUCUCGAAUUUCUGCUUGAUAGAAAUGGUGAUGCAACACAAUAGUAAUUCAGUUUUAUUUAUGUAACAAACCAAUUGAGAUGCUUACAUGUUGUUGAACCUUUAACUCCAGGGCAUCUAAUCGGUUGUCUCUGUUUUC